GUGAAGCCCAUUUUUACUUCAAUACCUGAUAUACUUAAGUAUGGUUAAGAUUCUUCUAUUGAAGUAGAUUGGUGAUUGUCUAAAUUUUCUGAAUUUGCAGACUUCUGUUGGCUCCUCCGCUGAUCCAGAACUAUGGCUGGGAGUCUGUGUUUUACCUGUUUGGCUUUCUAGGCAUAGCUUGGUUUUCUGGAUUUCAAUUGGUUAAAGAAGAUCGGCCCUGGUCUUUCACAGAACCCAUCUCGUGGCCACCAUCUUUUUCCAGAAAUAAAUCAUUGGGAGAGUUGGGCACCUCUCUAAAGGAUGUGCCAUGGAAGGCAUUUUUUAGAAGCAAGGCUGUAUGGGCGAUGAUAUAUACACAUUUCUGUGGGAGUUGGGGCCACUAUACUUGCUUAUCUUGGCUUCCUACCUAUUUCAGUGAGGAG
rnacentral:misc_RNA from 1 species